rnacentral:rRNA from 1 species
AGAGUUUGAUCAUGGCUCAGAACGAACGCUGGCGGCGUGCUUAACACAUGCAAGUCGAGUGCGCGGUUGUAGCAAUACAACUGGCGCACGGCGCACGGGUGCGUAACACGUGGGCAAUCUGCCCUUCGAUGGGGAAUAACUCCGGGAAACCGAAGCUAAUUCCGCAUAACAUUCCUUGGACCUCGGUUCGAGGACUCAAAGCCGUAAGGCGUCGAAGGAGGAGCCCGCGCACGAUUAGCUAGUUGGUAGGGUAACGGCCUACCAAGGCUUUGAUCGUUAGCUGGUCUGAGAGGAUGGCCAGCCACACUGGAACUGAGACACGGUCCAGACUCCUACGGGAGGCAGCAGUGGGGAAUCUUGCACAAUGGGCGAAAGCCUGAUGCAGCGACGCCGCGUGGGGGAUGAAGCAUUUCGGUGUGUAAACCCCUUUCGACCCGGACGAAUGCCUCGCAAGAGGAGUGACGGUACGGGUAUAAGAAGCCCCGGCUAACUACGUGCCAGCAGCCGCGGUAAGACGUAGGGGGCCAGCGUUGUUCGGAAUUACUGGGUGUAAAGGGUUCGUAGGCGGUGUGGCAAGUUGGGAGUGAAAUCUCUGGGCUCAACCCAGAGGCUGCUUCCAAAACUGCUGUGCUUGAGUGUGGGAGAGGCGCGUGGAAUUGCAGGUGUAGCGGUGAAAUGCGUAGAUAUCUGCAGGAACACCCGUGGCGAAAGCGGCGCGCUGGACCACAACUGACGCUGAGGAACGAAAGCUAGGGGAGCAAACAGGAUUAGAUACCCCCGUAGUCC